rnacentral:rRNA from 1 species
UACGUAGGUGGCAAGCGUUGUCCGGAAUUAUUGGGCGUAAAGCGCGCGCAGGUGGUCUUUUAAGUCUGAUGUGAAAGUCCCCGGCUCAACCGGGGAGGGUCAUUGGAAACUGGGAGACUUGAGUGCAGAAGAGGAAAGUGGAAUUCCACGUGUAGCGGUGAAAUGCGUAGAGAUGUGGAGGAACACCAGUGGCGAAGGCGACUUUCUGGUCUGUAACUGACACUGAGGCGCGAAAGCGUGGGGAGCGAACAGG